GGGCUAUAGCUCAGUGGUAGAGCAUCUGCUUUGCAUACAAGAGGUCCCAGGUCCAAUCCCUGGCAUUUCCA
rnacentral:tRNA from 1 species